rnacentral:rRNA from 1 species
UUAACACAUGCAAGUCGAGCGGUAAGGCCCUUCGGGGUACACGAGCGGCGAACGGGUGAGUAACACGUGGGUGAUCUGCCUCGUACUCUGGGAUAAGCCUGGGAAACUGGGUCUAAUACCGGAUAUGACCACGAAUCGCAUGGUUUGUGGUGGAAAGAUUUAUCGGUGCGAGAUGGGCCCGCGGCCUAUCAGCUUGUUGGUGGGGUAAUGGCCUACCAAGGCGACGACGGGUAGCCGGCCUGAGAGGGCGACCGGCCACACUGGGACUGAGACACGGCCCAGACUCCUACGGGAGGCAGCAGUGGGGAAUAUUGCACAAUGGGCGGAAGCCUGAUGCAGCGACGCCGCGUGCGGGAUGACGGCCUUCGGGUUGUAAACCGCUUUCGACAGGGACGAAGCGUGAGUGACGGUACCUGUAGAAGAAGCACCGGCCAACUACGUGCCAGCAGCCG